rnacentral:sRNA from 1 species
UCAAAAAGACACAUACUUGGAGAGGGUAAUAAAAUUGGGAAAAGUAAAAUUAACAAAGCAAAUUGUGUACGGCCUAAGAAGGAAAGUUCCUUUAAAGUUCAUCCUUGCUGGAAGUGACUGGGCCUCAGCAAUGAUUUAGCUGAGUUCCAACUGAUGAGUUUGAAUUGCUGGGCCAGGUUUUAUGAAGGAAGCCGGGAUAGCAUCUGUUCACUUUGAAAAGAAUUCUGGUAAUUCAGCAGUGUCAUAAAUUUUCAAACUUAUAUUUUGAUUAACACAUUUUAUUGGCACCCAUAUUCUUUUCCUUAUUGCUAAUAAUACUGUGAAUGUGUGUCUUUCUUCAGCUGUGGUGCUCCCAUUCAAGUUUCCGAGGUGAAGCUGCUUUCCUUUUCAUCAGGGCAGCGAACCGUGUUCCUCCCAGCUGAGGUGAAGGCCAUAGGGACGGAGCAUGAUCACGUCCUCCCUCUGCAGGAAUUGGCCAUGAGAAGUCUGUAUCGUACCUACCACAGCUUGCUGAAAGAUUUGAACUUUCUGUCUCC